ensembl:lncRNA
GGUAUGAUCCAAGUGAAGCUGUAAGUGAACUCUUAUUUUAAGCCAAAUCUCCCUCAAAGUGGCCCCACCAAUUUUUUUUUUUCUCCCUGCCACUGAAGAGCGUGCUCCUUCUCACCCUGUUAGAUUCUACUAGCACGGAUAUUCUUUAAAAAACAGGUUGUAGGGAACAAAGCCAAAGGGACAGGGGAAGAUAGGGGGAGGCAAGCACCCAGAGCUGAUCCCCAGCUGUGCCUUCUCCAGGCACGAAGCCCAAACUCCCACGGUUUUCUCAGCAAUUUAGCAACUAGGAAAAGCUGGCAAAAAAACGAUACCCUGUGAUCCAAAAGAAUGACUGCCCUGCCAGAAGACAAAGAAACCAACUGAUCCAAAAGAAUACCUGCCCUGCCGGAGGUGCACUAAAAUCUACGUCCUGUCCUUUUGUCCACCGUGCUUUCUCUACUGCAUUUGCCCUCAGUGACCCGAUUGCCUCCAUUGUAACUGAAGGUGGGGGUCCAGCUGCUUGCUGCUCAACAGCCAAUAAGGAGGCAAGACAGUAAAGAAUCUGCCUGCAAUGCCAGAGACCUGGGAUCCAUCCCUGGUUCAGGAAGAUCCCUUGGAAAAGGAAAUGGCAACCCACUCCAGGAUUCUUGUGGGAGAAUUUCAUGGACAGAAGAUCCUGGUGGGCUGCAGUCCAUGAGGUUGCAAGGAGAUGGACAACAACUGAGUGACUAACACUGAGCUACCUGGAAAGUUGAGUUCUGGAGAGUCCAGAGGAGUACUUAGCCUAGGGCAGUUAUUUCGCACUAGCGAGGCAAGCACUCUUUACAGUGCUCUGUGAAUUGUGAGAUUUUCAGUCUUGCUGGUGGGAAUAGGCACUCUCCCAGCCCUGUAUGGGCACAAGGCAGGGUUUUCUCUAAUCCUUGGGUCAAUUCUUUCACCAUCCUCAGGUAGUUUCAUCCCAGGCCUGUGCUGAUAAGUACUCUGCUAAAUUCUCCAGGGCCCCUCUACAGAUCUCCAGGGUUCUUUUCCUGUGCAGCCAUUUCCUCUUCAGCUCUCUGUCUUGCUGUUCUAGCUGCCUGCCUGUAUCUCCCCACAUUCCUCUCUGUCUCCUCAACUGCGGGUUUGGGUGGGCUCUGCCUGGGUGCCCUUCUCCCUAUACUACAGACUGAAAACACUCUCAAAGCCCAAAUACAUGGCAGUUGUAGGGCUCAGUCGUUCCCAUCACUGAGGGAUCACUGUCUAUUGCCUGAUAUGUAAUGCCUUGAAAACCAUUAUUAUUGUCCAGUGUUUUUAGUUGUCUCAGGCAGAGAUUCAACAUGAUCGUUUUCUACUCCAUCUUGGUAAGAAGUUAUGUCAGCCUAUCUUUUUGCUCAUUUAGGGGCUUUGUGUUGGGGACAAAGAUUCAGGACCCCAAAACUGAAUGUUAUGAUUUGAACUAGGAAACCUGAUGAGUCUGAAGUUUUCUCAACCUUCGGGACCUAUGUGCACUUGCUGGGAAUAAGAAAUGGAUGGUUUCUGGCAGAAUUGGGGUGUACAAAGAAAGUGUCUAGAGAGUCUGUCCUGGUAAUACUGGCCUACCCAGUGAUCCCAGUUCCAUUCUGUAGCACUCAGGGAUAAAGCUAUAUAGAGGGCACUCCAUGGACUUGCUCUUAUAGUAACAAAUAGGACCUACCAGGGGGUGGUCCCAAGAUGGAGGAGGAAUAGGACCGGGAGACCACUUUCUCCCUAACAAAUUCACCAAAAGAUCAUUUAAAUGCUGAGAAACUUCCACAAAACAAUUUCUGAACGCUGGCGGAGGACACCAGGCCAGAAAGGCAGCCCAUUCUCUUCGAAAGGAGGUAGGACAAAAUAUGAGAGACAAAAGAGAGACAGAGACCCACCCUGGGGUGGGAGUCGUAAAGGAAGAAAAGGUUCCAAACAGUAGGAAACCCUCUCACAGGCAGGUCUGUGGGGAGUUUUGGAAUCUCAGAGGGCAACAUAACUGGGAGGAAAAAAAAAAAAAACACAGAGUACGCGCCCAACUGCAACUGCCAACAGAGAAGUAGCCCAGUAAGUAAGCAUCUUACUUACUUAUGUCUGCCAUCAGUAAGCAGGGGCUGGACAGGGAGGCAGGGGCUGCAUUGCUUAGGGUAUGGACGGGGCCUGGAUGCCCUGAGGACAAUCAGAGAGCUAAUGUGAGAUAGCAACCCAAACUGUGGGAUCAUGAGAGAGGAAAAAAAAAAAGAGAACUUUCCUGCAAUAAGCUCUGAAGUGUAGCCUGACUUGCUCACAGGACAAAGGAUUGAGCAAAUACCAAAGGAGAGCUAUCCAUCUGCGUACAAGGCCCCUCCCUCCCACCCUGCCGGAGGCAGAGAGGCAGGCAUGUGACAGCCAGAGCCGAAGGCAAGAGGCAAUCUCGGGUCC